GGGCGCACGGUGGAUGCCUUGACACUAGGAGUCGAUGAAGGACGGGACUAACGCCGAUAUGCUUCGGGGAGCUGUAAGUAAGCUUUGAUCCGAAGAUUUCCGAAUGGGGAAACCCACCAUACGUAAUGGUAUGGUAUCCUUAUCUGAAUACAUAGGGUAAGGAAGACAGACCCAGGGAACUGAAACAUCUAAGUACCUGGAGGAAGAGAAAGCAAAUGCGAUUUCCUGAGUAGCGGCGAGCGAAACGGAACAUAGCCCAAACCAAGAGGCUUGCCUCUUGGGGUUGUAGGACAUUCUAUACGGAGUUACAAAGGAACGAGGUAGACGAAGCGACCUGGAAAGGUCCGUCGUAGAGGGUAACAACCCCGUAGUCGAAACUUCGUUCUCUCUUGAAUGUAUCCUGAGUACGGCGGAACACGUGAAAUUCCGUCGGAAUCUGGGAGGACCAUCUCCCAAGGCUAAAUACUCCCUAGUGAUCGAUAGUGAACCAGUACCGUGAGGGAAAGGUGAAAAGCACCCCGGAAGGGGAGUGAAAGAGAUCCUGAAACCGUGUGCCUACAAAUAGUCAGAGCCCGUUAACGGGUGAUGGCGUGCCUUUUGUAGAAUGAACCGGCGAGUUACGAUCCCGUGCGAGGUUAAGCUGAAGAGGCGGAGCCGCAGCGAAAGCGAGUCUGAAUAGGGCGUUUAGUACGUGGUCGUAGACCCGAAACCAGGUGAUCUACCCAUGUCCAGGGUGAAGUUCAGGUAACACUGAAUGGAGGCCCGAACCCACGCACGUUGAAAAGUGCGGGGAUGAGGUGUGGGUAGCGGAGAAAUUCCAAUCGAACCUGGAGAUAGCUGGUUCUCCCCGAAAUAGCUUUAGGGCUAGCCUUAAGUGUAAGAGUCUUGGAGGUAGAGCACUGAUUGGACUAGGGGUCCUCAUCGGAUUACCGAAUUCAGUCAAACUCCGAAUGCCAAUGACUUAUCCUUAGGAGUCAGACUGCGAGUGAUAAGAUCCGUAGUCAAAAGGGAAACAGCCCAGACCGCCAGCUAAGGUCCCAAAGUGUGUAUUAAGUGGAAAAGGAUGUGGAGUUGCUUAGACAACUAGGAUGUUGGCUUAGAAGCAGCCACCAUUUAAAGAGUGCGUAAUAGCUCACUAGUCGAGUGACUCUGCGCCGAAAAUGUACCGGGGCUAAAUACACCACCGAAGCUGCGGAUUGAUACCGAAUGGUAUCAGUGGUAGGGGAGCGUUCUAAGGACAGUGAAGUCAGACCGGAAGGACUGGUGGAGUGCUUAGAAGUGAGAAUGCCGGUAUGAGUAGCGAAAGACGGGUGAGAAUCCCGUCCACCGAAUGCCUAAGGUUUCCUGAGGAAGGCUCGUCCGCUCAGGGUUAGUCAGGACCUAAGCCGAGGCCGACAGGCGUAGGCGAUGGACAACAGGUUGAUAUUCCUGUACCACCUCUUUAUCGUUUGAGCAAUGGAGGGACGCAGAAGGAUAGAAGAAGCGUGCGAUUGGUUGUGCACGUCCAAGCAGUUAGGCUGAUAAGUAGGCAAAUCCGCUUAUCGUAAAGGCUGAGCUGUGAUGGGGAAGCUCCUUAUGGAGCGAAGUCUUUGAUUCCCCGCUGCCAAGAAAAGCUUCUAGCGAGAUAAAAGGUGCCUGUACCGCAAACCGACACAGGUAGGCGAGGAGAGAAUCCUAAGGUGUGCGAGAGAACUCUGGUUAAGGAACUCGGCAAAAUGACCCCGUAACUUCGGGAGAAGGGGUGCUUUCUUAACGGAAAGCCGCAGUGAAUAGGCCCAAGCGACUGUUUAGCAAAAACACAGCUCUCUGCGAAGCCGUAAGGCGAAGUAUAGGGGGUGACACCUGCCCGGUGCUGGAAGGUUAAGGAGAGGGGUUAGCGUAAGCGAAGCUCUGAACUGAAGCCCCAGUAAACGGCGGCCGUAACUAUAACGGUCCUAAGGUAGCGAAAUUCCUUGUCGGGUAAGUUCCGACCCGCACGAAAGGUGUAACGAUUUGGGCACUGUCUCAACCAGAGACUCGGUGAAAUUAUAGUACCUGUGAAGAUGCAGGUUACCCGCGACAGGACGGAAAGACCCCGUGGAGCUUUACUGUAGCCUGAUAUUGAAUUUUGGUACAGUUUGUACAGGAUAGGCGGGAGCCUUUGAAACCGGAGCGCUAGCUUCGGUGGAGGCGCUGGUGGGAUACCGCCCUGACUGUAUUGAAAUUCUAACCUACGGGUCUUAUCGACCCGGGAGACAGUGUCAGGUGGGCAGUUUGACUGGGGCGGUCGCCUCCUAAAGUGUAACGGAGGCGCCCAAAGGUUCCCUCAGAAUGGUUGGAAAUCAUUCGUAGAGUGCAAAGGCAUAAGGGAGCUUGACUGCGAGACCUACAAGUCGAGCAGGGACGAAAGUCGGGCUUAGUGAUCCGGUGGUUCCGCAUGGAAGGGCCAUCGCUCAACGGAUAAAAGCUACCCCGGGGAUAACAGGCUUAUCUCCCCCAAGAGUCCACAUCGACGGGGAGGUUUGGCACCUCGAUGUCGGCUCAUCGCAUCCUGGGGCUGUAGUCGGUCCCAAGGGUUGGGCUGUUCGCCCAUUAAAGCGGUACGCGAGCUGGGUUCAGAACGUCGUGAGACAGUUCGGUCCCUAUCCGUCGUGGGCGUAGGAAAUUUGAGAGGAGCUGUCCUUAGUACGAGAGGACCGGGAUGGACGCACCGCUGGUGUACCAGUUGUUCUGCCAAGGGCAUAGCUGGGUAGCUAUGUGCGGAAGGGAUAAGUGCUGAAAGCAUCUAAGCAUGAAGCCCCCCUCAAGAUGAGAUUUCCCAUAGCGUAAGCUAGUAAGAUCCCUGAAAGAUGAUCAGGUUGAUAGGUUCGAGGUGGAAGCAUGGUGACAUGUGGAGCUGACGAAUACUAAUAGAUCGAGGACUUAACCAUAUA
rnacentral:rRNA from 1 species